rnacentral:tRNA from 1 species
CGCGCGAGCUAUCUAGGCAAUAUUCAACGUAAUCGUGAGUGUGAACAGGAGCAUGGAACGGAGGAAUUGGGACGGGAGGGAAUCAGCUUGCCUGAUCCAGGGCAUGUAAUUCCUCCGUUCCUGACUGAUGACUUGUAGAAUUCCAAUCAAACUUCAACUUACCAGGUAAGUCUCGUUUAAUUUUUAAUUCUACUACGUCAUCAGUCUACGUCACUACGGAAUUACAUGAGAUUUCAAAGUCCUGUUCACACACACGCCAAUGAGUAGAUCAGUCAAUGGUUUACGAAGUAACUAAACCAUGAUAUCAUCUACUAACAAACGAGCCGACAUGAUCACAUCUGCGCAAGGGCAGAUACAAAAAAGGGAAUCAUUUGAUUGUGAGGUUGGGCUAACCUCUUCUGUCUACAAGAAAUGCUAGUAGUAGUAGACUCCAAAUAAAUAAAGGUAAAGAUAAUUUCCUCAUGAUUCUUUUUAAAUUCCCUUAAAUUAAAUGCAUUGCCAUCAAGAAGCAAUGAACAAUUGUUGCCAUAAGAUUGCAAACCCGUACCCAGGCUGUUCCCUGGUACCGAUACGACUCACAAUUCCUUUACCAUAAGACGGAAUUUUUCUUUGUAUUAAGCAUACAGCCUGCAGUGUAUCUCUAGGCUGUCAUAAAGCCAAAAGUUUCCAAUAUAAGUGCCAUUGGCAUCGAGGAGUUUAUAACUCAAGGACGAAAGAACUUUUAUACUCUUCCUGAAUUGAAAACCUGGUUGCAGUAACUUACACUAAUUUUGAAAUGAAUAUUUUUUCUGAUGUCACACGACAUCUUUGCAAAUUAUAUAUAAGGUCAUUACAGUAUCAUGAGACCGUUAUGCAAUAAACGCUGAACUGACCAUUGAAACCUCAGCGUUGACUAAUAUCACAUAACCAACACAGCAAAUAUCAUGAUUAUUAGAUUACAUUGAUAUCGAAGGAACUAGACUCAGUUCCAUACUCGAACCAACCUGACCGCGUAGCUCAAUUGGCAGAGCAUUGGGCUAGUAUUCCAAAGGUAGUAGGUUCGAUUCCCACCGUGGCCAGGCAUAUUUUUCAAGCCUGCCCAAUGUCUCACAGUAACAUCACAAGCAUCAUGAAACUGAUAUAAGGAUUAAGGGUUCUAUAUGACACAAAUUAAUGUAUAUAUAGUUAAGCAAAAAUAUGCAUUUGUUCCAUAGCUCCGUCGUUAUUAUAAAUCAGAAGCUGAUGAUAGAUAGAAAUAAUUCUGUACAAUGAAAAGGAAGACAAAUGUGCCCAAAUAGGUACUGAUUAGUACAUUAUGAUUCUGAGUGCAUGAUUCAUAUAACAUCAAUGUUCUAUAAGUCUAGCAAUUUCAAAUACAUAUGUCAUAUAUUGUAUAUUAUCACCCCUCUCAAUAUUAUGGUCCCAUGGCCAAUUUGUGUACUGAAGUCUGUGUAAUAAUUAAGUGUAGUAUGCCGCUCGCUGCCGAUGGCAUUUGGACAUACAGUCAUACCGUUAAAGGCCAUAAGGCUUCGAAGUGAAGGCGGUGAGCAUAUAGUCAUAACCACAACUAUUUGUAUUUGGAGAGUAUAUUCCUUAAUAUUUCUGUGGACGAAAUAUGUGUUAAAUACAUUGUAUGUGCACAAGAAAUUCGCCAAAAAGGACUGGUUGAUCAGUGUUGUUCUGUGACUGUGUGGGGUAUCAUAGAAACGUUUACAUCCGAAACUUACAAUAGGUGAAGGGAAAAGAUCUUGGGCCGUUACAACAGUAACAACACUAACAUUAUUGUAGAGAUAUCCUGUUGAAACAAUCAGGGGACAUUGUUAUUGGCUUCAAUUGCAUAUUAACGCGAGAAUCGAAAAUAAAUUUCGGUCAGUUGCAUGUUUUCCUGAGUCAGGGUGCAUGGUAUAUUGGUCCGCAAAGUUUCUCGCUGUGCCCUUUCUACAUACAUUUACAUGGUAACCACAUGACUGACAAGAAUUGUCCCUUGUAUUGAAUUCCUCUUAUUUUAUUAUAGCCAUAUGCAAUGCCAAUGGGGUUAAAUAGCCAGUAAAUAUAACAUGCAUAUUGCAUUCGAGUGACAGCCGGUUCGUCAGUUUUGAAUUUUGUAACUGUUAUUGUUGUUAUCAGACCAUUUAAAAUUCAUCAUAACCAUUACUCAUUAGCACGUAUACCGACGGUAUAGUCGAGUUUACCAAGACUGAAUAGUAUCGCAUCACAGGCAUUGCUAUUUGGUAAUUGGUCUUUGUAUUGUCCUGUGAAGGAAUGAAUGUCAUUCUAUAAAUGCAAUGUUUGUCCUGCAGUCCAGAACAACAGUGAUUGCAGCAGAUGGACUAUGUCUAUUAUAUAUGACAUAUGUACAAGGUGUUUAGCCUAUGGCUAUGCCAUGUUAAACAGAUAAUGAUUCACAAAAUACGAUAGUGCAACUUCCCAAUGCCAAUGGUGUGUUGUUAUUGUUAUUGUUAUAUGAAACAUUGUCAUUGAGUACCAGACCGCUCUACUGUUCCAGUCUGGCCUGAUUUGUUUGGCUUGAAGCGGAGAUUGGGUAUAUUUCCAUACAUAAUGACCAGUGAAUAUUCUACACUGCUGUUCUUAAAUUCAAGGCAUAGCAAAUUACUAAUCUUUAUACUUUAAUACAAAUUGCUUUGGCUAUACAAAAAGCCCCCAAGAGGUUAAGAUAAUGAUGUCCAAUUUUGUUCUCAGGGAACAAGAUUAGCCUCCAUGCAGAUUUGCAGACAUUAACCACACCUUCAAUUCUAAUCAGGAAUUGAAAUCUGAUCCCAGUAAUGCUAAUGCAUGGUUAAAUAAGCAGGUACAAACUGUACAAUUCAGUAAAUUUCUCAUUGGCCUGGUCAAGUUGUUUGUUUCAUGGUUCAAAACAUAGCCACUGCCCCACUGGCAUCGAUUAGCAUUUCAGAUUU